UCAUCAGUGAAGCCGAUCCUGAUGUUAUGGCUAUUGUUGGGCUAGGAGGGUUGGGCAAGACAACUCUGGCACAACUGGUCUUCAAUGAUGAGAAGGUGUGCCAGCAUUUUAGGAAGAGGAUAUGGGUCUGUGUUUCUGAUGAGUUUGAUGGCAAGAGACUCACAAGAUCAAUCAUAGAAUCAAUAACUGGGAGCGAGUGCAAUCUGAAAGAUAUGCACUCGUUGCAGAGGAUUCUAAGAGAACAACUCAGAGGGGAGAGGUUCUUGCUUGUUCUGGAUGAUGUAUGGAAUGAGGACCACGAGAAGUGGGACAGGUUGAGAGCUCUGCUCUCCGGUUGUGCCACGAGAGGAAGUAAGGUCAUUGUGACCACACGCAGUGCAAGAGUUGCUUCCAUUAUGGGCACCGUCUCACCGCACUUGCUGAACGGGUUAUCAGAUCAGGACUGCUGGGUUUUGUUCGAGAAGAGGGCGUUUGGGUUCGGUGGUGCAGUGAAGACACCGAACUUGGUGGCCAUUGGGAAGGAUAUAGUAAGCAAGUGCGCAGGGCUUCCUUUGGCUGCAAAAGCUCUAGGAAGCCUGAUGCGUUUCAGAAGAGGAGAAAGGGAAUGGGUGGCCGUGAAAGACAAUGAGAUUUGGAGAUUGCCUGAGCAUGAGAACCAGAUCUUGCCAUCAUUGAGGUUGAGCUACAAUCACUUGCCUUCACGCCUCAAGCCUUGCUUCGCCUACUGCUCUAUAUUCCCCAAGAACUAUGUGGUAAGGAAGGAGACACUGGUUCAGCUAUGGAUGGCAGAGGGCUUCUUGAUCCAUGAUUAUAAUUCAUUUGAGACUGAAGACAUUGGGAAUGGAUAUGUUGACGAGUUACUGGAAAGAUCACUCUUUCAAAAUGGCGAUGAAGACACUGAUGGGGUGGUGAGACAGGUAAAGAUGCAUGACCUCGUCCAUGACCUUGCUCACUCUGUUGCAGGUGAAGAGGGCUCUGUUGCUGAUGAAGCUUCAGGAUAUGCAUUUCGGGAAGGCUGUAGAUACUUGUCCUUCGUUUAUGACAGACCAAUAUCAGAGAGCAAGCCACUACCAUUUCUCAAUGAAGCAAACAAGUUGCGCAGCUUCUACUUCAUUGCAGAAGGAAACAUGAAGUACCUGCAACAAAACGGGGCACAAGUUUUCCGUUUAGAUGCAGAAGGAGGCAUGUUAGAGGCAGACAAUAACAAAGAGAAAGCAUCAAAGCCGGCAGAGCUUAGUGACAUCUUGUCCAGUCUAAAGCUCUUGCGUGCAUUGCAUCUAAACCGCUACCCACUGAUCAGAGAAAUUCCGGUUUUGAUAGGAAAGAUGAAACAUUUGAGAUACCUCGACCUCUCCAGCACCAUCAUUGAAGUUGUACCACCAUGCGUUGGCCUCCUUCAUAAUCUCCAGACUUUGAAUUUAUCUUGUUGCAGAGGGCUUCGGAUGUUGCCUGACUCUAUUGGUCAGCUCUCCAACCUAUUGACCUUGGACCUCGAAGGCUGCUCAAGUCUGCAGUCCUUGCCAGGUUCCAUUGGUUGCCUUAAGAAUUUAAGGAAGCUUGACUUGUCCUUGUCCCAGUAUGUUCAAGCAUUGCCUGCAUCUCUAAGCAGACUCUCCAACCUGCAAGAUUUGAGACUUAGACAUUGUUACAGUAUGCGUGACCUUCCAGUGAAGAUGAAGGAUAUGAAAAGCCUCAUUCAUCUGGAUAUUACUAGCUGUGUUGAGUUGACUUGCAUUCCUGCAGGAAUAGGACAGUUAAGUAGUCUGCGAACAUUGCCAAUAUUUAUAGUUGGUGGGAAGACCAAUUGCAGUCUCAAAGAAUUGGGCAGCCUAAGCAUUGAAGGUCAGCUGUAUAUAAAACAUCUUGAGAAUGUAACAAAUCCUCAUGAGGCUAAGGAGGCCAAUCUGAAGGAAAAACAGGGUCUUCGGUCACUAAGAUUAUCAUGGGAUAAGAAUGUAUACAGGGCACCAGGACAAUCCAGUGAUGAUAACCUGAGUGAUGAUGAAGAAUUUGGGAGUUAUGUGAUUGACUUUCUACUCUUGCAUAAUAUGGUUCCCGAAGCUGAUCUCGUGGAUGAUGUGCUUGAAAACCUUCAACCAGAUACAAACAUCAGUGAGUUGGAGAUUGAAGGAUAUGUGGGAAAGAAGUUCCCCACUUGGAUGAUGGACUUAUCACUGCUUCCCAAUCUGGUUGAUCUGACACUAGAUUCAUGUAUUAGAUGUGAGACUCUUCCACCACUGGGACAGCUUCCUCAUCUCAAAGUCCUCAGGCUCAGACUCCUUUGUGCAAUCAGGUGCAUAGACUCAUCUUUUUACGGAGGUCAUGCUGCAUUUCCCGUUUUAGAGGAAUUAAUGAUAUCAAUGAUGUUUAUGUUACAAGAGUGGUCUGGAACAAGUGAAGGAGAACUUUUUCCUUCUCUUACCAAGCUGACUCUUGGCUCAUGUCCAUUGUUGAGAGAGCUUCCAUCCAAUUUCCCCUCUGUUAAGCAUCUGAAUAUGAACAUGGAGGAUGAGCUGCUGUUGUCCAACCUUCAGGAAGGUGCAUUUCCUAAUCUCAAGCACUUACAUGUUGGGGAAUUUGAUGAGGACAGCAUACCUGAAGUGAUUUCUCUACUAAUGGAAUCUGUUGAGAGCUAUUCAGUAGAAUCGAAACCAAGGCCUCAAGAUGAUGAUCCUUUGGCAAUGUCAUCCUUAUGCUUUGCCAAGUACCCUGUGUAUGCUGGUACUACCAUUCUUCCUAUUUUCACGCCAAACAGGUUUUGAUCCUAAGAAGCUUAAGUUGGAGUUGGCUAGGUUUGUGAAACGCAAUAUUUUGUAUCAUAGUCUCAGCUCAGCAAUUAUCGGUCAGGAGCCUUUGCACAAGAGGAAGGCAUGAAAGAGGAUGAGUUACCAGAUUAGCACCGAGUAUGAUAUGUAUAUGUACUGUUUCCCCCCUGUUUUGUAUCUUGGUUGUUGUGGUUGCUUACUCCACUUCUGCAUGGUUGGUCUA